rnacentral:rRNA from 1 species
GACGAACGCUGGCGGCGUGGAUUAGGCAUGCAAGUCGAACGGUAUCAUCCUUUCGGGGGUGAGAGAGUGGCGAACUGGUGAGUAACACGUAGGUUAUCUACCCUCAAGACGGGGACAACCCAGGGAAACUUGGGCUAAUACCGGAUGUGAGCAACUUUUUAGUUGUUUGAAAGGUGGCGUAAGCUGUCGCUUGGGGAUGAGCCUGCGUCCUAUUAGUUAGUUGGUGAGGUAACGGCUCACCUAGGCAAUGAUAGGUAGGCGGCCUUAACGGGUGGUCGCCCACACUGGGAUUGAGAUACGGCCCAGACUCCUACGGGAGGCAGCAGUCGAGAAUAGUCUACAAUGGUCGGAAGACUGAUAGUGCGACGCCGCGUGAACGAUGAAUCCCUUCGGGGUGUAAAGUUCUUUUAUAUGUGAGCAGUGCUUCUUAUAUUAAGAGUAUGGGGAGAGAGAUAUUAGCAUAUGAAUAAGCAACGGCUAACUCCGUG